AACGUACGCUGGCGGCACGCCUAAUACAUGCAAGUCGAACGAAGUAGCAAUACUUAGUGGCAGACGGGUGAGUAACGUGUAGGUAUCUUCCCUAUGGUGAGGAAUAACACGAGGAAACUUGUGCUAAUACCUCAUAAGUCUUUACAGAGAAAGCUUUAUGCGCCAUUGGAUGAGCCUGCACUUGAUUAGUUUGUUGGUAGGGUAAUGGCCUACCAAGACAAUGAUCAAUAGCUGAUUUGAGAGGAUGAUCAGCCACAUUGGGACUGAGACACGGCCCAAACUCCUACGGGAGGCAGCAGUAGGGAAUCUUGCACAAUGGGGGAAACCCUGAUGCAGCGAUGCCGCGUGAGUGAAGAAGGCCCUUGGGUUGUAAAGCUCUUUCGUCGGGAAGAAAUGACUGUACCCGAAUAAGAAGGUCCGGCUAACUUCGUGCCAGCAGCCGCAGUAAC
rnacentral:rRNA from 1 species